CGCUGGGGGUUUUGUUUUGGGAGGGAGACCAACCGGGAUUGCCUCAGUAACGGCGAGUGAAGCGGCAAGAGCUCAAAUUUGAAAGCUGGCUCCUUCGGAGUCCGCAUUGUAAUUUGCAGAGGAUGCUUUGGGUGCGGCCCCCGUCUAAGUGCCCUGGAACGGGCCGUCAGAGAGGGUGAGAAUCCCGUCUUGGGCGGGGUGUCCGUGCCCGUGUAAAGCUCCUUCGACGAGUCGAGUUGUUUGGGAAUGCAGCUCUAAAUGGGUGGUAAAUUUCAUCUAAAGCUAAAUACUGGCCGGAGACCGAUAGCGCACAAGUAGAGUGAUCGAAAGAUGAAAAACUCGCCCGCGGGGUUCAGCCGGCAUUCGUGCCGGUGUACUUCCCCGUGGGCGGGCCAGCGUCGGUUUGGGCGGCCGGUCAAAGGCCCCUGGAAUGUAGUGCCCUCCGGGGCACCUUAUAGCCAGGGGUGCAAUGCGGCCAGCCUGGACCGAGGAACGCGCUUCGGCACGGACGCUGGCAUAAUGGUCGUAAACGACCCGUCUUGAAACACGGACCAAGGAGUCUAACAUCUACGCGAGUGUUCGGGUGUCAAACCCGUGCGCGCAGUGAAAGCGAACGGAGGUGGGAGCCCCCUUGCGGGGCGCACCAUCGACCGAUCCUGAUGUCUUCGGAUGGAUUUGAGUAAGAGCGUAGCUGUGGGGACCCGAAAGAUGGUGAACUAUGCCUGAAUAGGGCGAAGCCAGAGGAAACUCUGGUGGAGGCUCGCAGCGGUUCUGACGUGCAAAUCGAUCGUCAAAUUUGGGUAUAGGGGCGAAAGACUAAUCGAACCUUUUUUCUGCGUUGGAUAAAAAGCCUGCUUAU
rnacentral:rRNA from 1 species